AUUGAACGCUGGCGGCAUGCUUUACACAUGCAAGUCGAACGGCAGCGCGGGGCAACCUGGCGGCGAGUGGCGAACGGGUGAGUAAUACAUCGGAACGUACCCAGAAGUGGGGGAUAACGUAGCGAAAGUUACGCUAAUACCGCAUACGUUCUACGGAAGAAAGUGGGGGACCUUCGGGCCUCAUGCUUUUGGAGCGGCCGAUGUCUGAUUAGCUAGUUGGUGAGGUAAAGGCUCACCAAGGCGACGAUCAGUAGCUGGUCUGAGAGGACGACCAGCCACACUGGGACUGAGACACGGCCCAGACUCCUACGGGAGGCAGCAGUGGGGAAUUUUGGACAAUGGGCGCAAGCCUGAUCCAGCAAUGCCGCGUGAGUGAAGAAGGCCUUCGGGUUGUAAAGCUCUUUUGUUAGGGAAGAAACGGCUGAGGAUAAUACCUUCGGCUAAUGACGGUACCUGAAGAAUAAGCACCGGCUAACUACGUGCCAGCCGCCGCCGUAA
rnacentral:rRNA from 1 species